AAAUUGAAGAGUUUGAUCAUGGCUCAGAUUGAACGCUGGCGGCAGGCCUAACACAUGCAAGUCGAACGGUAGCACAGAGAGCUUGCUCUCGGGUGACGAGUGGCGGACGGGUGAGUAAUGUCUGGGAAACUGCCUGAUGGAGGGGGAUAACUACUGGAAACGGUAGCUAAUACCGCAUAACGUCGCAAGACCAAAGAGGGGGACCUUCGGGCCUCUUGCCAUCAGAUGUGCCCAGAUGGGAUUAGCUAGUAGGUGGGGUAACGGCUCACCUAGGCGACGAUCCCUAGCUGGUCUGAGAGGAUGACCAGCCACACUGGAACUGAGACACGGUCCAGACUCCUACGGGAGGCAGCAGUGGGGAAUAUUGCACAAUGGGCGCAAGCCUGAUGCAGCCAUGCCGCGUGUAUGAAGAAGGCCUUCGGGUUGUAAAGUACUUUCAGCGGGGAGGAAGGUGUUGUGGUUAAUAACCACAGCAAUUGACGUUACCCGCAGAAGAAGCACCGGCUAACUCCGUGCCAGCAGCCGCGGUAAUACGGAGGGUGCAAGCGUUAAUCGGAAUUACUGGGCGUAAAGCGCACGCAGGCGGUCUGUCAAGUCGGAUGUGAAAUCCCCGGGCUCAACCUGGGAACUGCAUUCGAAACUGGCAGGCUAGAGUCUUGUAGAGGGGGUAGAAUUCCAGGUGUAGCGGUGAAAUGCGUAGAGAUCUGGAGGAAUACCGGUGGCGAAGGCGGCCCCUGGACAAAGACUGACGCUCAGGUGCGAAAGCGUGGGGAGCAAACAGGAUUAGAUACCCUGGUAGUCCACGCCGUAAACGAUGUCGACUUGGAGGUUGUGCCCUUGAGGCGUGGCUUCCGGAGCUAACGCGUUAAGUCGACCGCCUGGGGAGUACGGCCGCAAGGUUAAAACUCAAAUGAAUUGACGGGGCCCGCACAAGCGGUGGAGCAUGUGGUUUAAUUCGAUGCAACGCGAAGAACCUUACCUACUCUUGACAUCCAGAGAACUUUCCAGAGAUGGAUUGGUGCCUUCGGGAACUCUGAGACAGGUGCUGCAUGGCUGUCGUCAGCUCGUGUUGUGAAAUGUUGGGUUAAGUCCCGCAACGAGCGCAACCCUUAUCCUUUGUUGCCAGCGGUCCGGCCGGGAACUCAAAGGAGACUGCCAGUGAUAAACUGGAGGAAGGUGGGGAUGACGUCAAGUCAUCAUGGCCCUUACGAGUAGGGCUACACACGUGCUACAAUGGCGCAUACAAAGAGAAGCGAACUCGCGAGAGCAAGCGGACCUCAUAAAGUGCGUCGUAGUCCGGAUUGGAGUCUGCAACUCGACUCCAUGAAGUCGGAAUCGCUAGUAAUCGUAGAUCAGAAUGCUACGGUGAAUACGUUCCCGGGCCUUGUACACACCGCCCGUCACACCAUGGGAGUGGGUUGCAAAAGAAGUAGGUAGCUUAACCUUCGGGAGGGCGCUUACCACUUUGUGAUUCAUGACUGGGUGAAGUCGUAACAAGGUAACCGUAGGGGAACCUGCGGUUGGAUCACCUCCUUACCUUAAAGAA
rnacentral:rRNA from 1 species